AAAGAUGAUCAGACACAUUAUAGAUUUUUCUGUUGGUCAAUAUCUUCACUUCUGGCCUGUUAAAUCAACCUAUAAUACCUACCCAUCACAAUAUGGACUGUAAAGACAUGUCAGUGAGUAACUUUGUAUUCCUUGUUGGAUCACUAUAAAACUUUUGUGUAAAUCAGAGAAAUUUGAGGACUGGUGCUCCUAAAGCUGAAGAUCAUAAUUCUUCAACUGGAGGAUACCAAUGGAGAAACUGGAGAGGAAUGGGACAGGAGAAGGAGGAGAUCAUGGGAGGUAGAAGAGGAAAGUGGAAGUAGAUAAAGGGUGACAUCAUUUUUCAUCUGUACAUCACAGCUGGUCCCAAGAUGUUUUCCAUCAAGAUGAUAUGAAAUGACUGUGACAGGAAGAAGACAGGAUUACAGAAUUUCUGGGUCUUUGAGCAUAAAAUUUGGUAAUAAUCAUCCCAGAUCCCACCAUGUUUCUGUGUAUUUACCUUUUCAUUAUCAAAAACACAGAGAAAAGCUGCUAAGCUUUAGUAAGAGUUCUAAGAAGGAUGUUGCAUGCCAGGUAAAAGUUUUAAAGGUACUGCUAUAAAUGUUGCCUAGCAGCUACAAAAUAUAUCCACUUUGGCAACCUAUGCAGCCACAGAACAAGGCAUAUUAUAUUGUUCAUAGUUCAGUAUCUUUCUUUUAUUCUUGCUUAAUAACAGUUUUCUAUCCCAUUUAUGUAAAAGGAAAAAUAUGUAUAACCCAUGACAUGUAUACAUAACUAGUCAAGUAUACUUGGAUUUUUAGGUUAUAAUAUAAAUGUCAAGAAACACAUUGUUUAUUUUUACAUUACUGUUAGGCAGCCAAGAAUGCUCCCCCCCCUUUUUUUUCCCAAGACAGGGUUUCUCUGUGUAGCUUUGCGCCUUUCCUGGGACUCACUUGGUAGUCCAGGCUGGCCUCGAACUCACAGAGAUCCGCCUGCCCCUGCCUCCCGAGUACUGGGAUUAAAGGCGUGCGCCACCACCGCCCGGCAAGAAUGCCCCUUUUAAUUGAGAUUUUUUGCACUCAUCAAGAGUCCUUAGAACAUAGGUGAUCCAUCUUCAGAUGAGCACUCAGUUAUUUAUAAUCAGCACUUAGACCAGUUAUGGGUCUCUAAAUUAGCUGUUAUCCAACGCAGAAAGGAGUGUCUCUGACCAGAGUUGAAAGCAGUGUAAAUCUAUGAGAAUAAACAAAUAUUUAUAAUGCA